rnacentral:sRNA from 1 species
UCAUUGUACAUAAUAAUACUUGGUGGCUU